UACGUAGGGACCGAGCGUUGUCCGGAAUCAUUGGGCGUAAAGAGCGUGUAGGCGGCCACUUAAGUCCUGCGUGAAAUCUUGCGGCUCAACCGCAAGCGGUCGUGGGAAACUGGGUGGCUAGAGUGCGGGAGAGGAGAGUGGAAUUCCUGGUGUAGCGGUGGAAUGCGUAGAUAUCGGGAGGAACACCUGUGGCGAAAGCGGCUCUCUGGACCACAACUGACGCUGAGGCGCGAAAGCUAGGGGAGCAACAGGG
rnacentral:rRNA from 1 species